rnacentral:tRNA from 2 species
GGGAACAUAGCUUUAGCGGCAGAGCUGUCGGCUGUUAACCGAAUGGUCGCAGGUUCGAAUCCUGCUGUUCCCG